rnacentral:rRNA from 1 species
UAAGGUCUAACCUGACCAAUGAAAAUUUAAAUGGCCGCAGUAUUUUGACUGUGCAAAGGUAGCAUAAUUAUUAGUUUUUUAAUUGAAAGCUUGUAUGAAGGGUUGGACGAAAUAAAAUCUGUCUUUAUUUAAAUUAAUAUAGAAUUUAACUUUUAAGUCAAAAGGCUUAAAUAUUAAUAAAAGACGAGAAGACCCUAUAGAUCUUUAUUUAAUUAAUAUUUUAAUAUUUUAGGAUUAUUUAAAUUUAAAGUUUUGAUUAAAUUUUAUUGGGGUAAUAUAAAGAUUAAGUAAAUUCUUUUUAUUAAUUACAUUGAUUUAUGAAUUUAUGAUCCAGUAAUAUUGAUUAAAAGAUUAAGUUACCUUAGGGAUAACAGCGUAAUUUUUUUUGAGAGCUCAUAUCGAUAAAAAAGUUUGCGACCUCGAUGUUGGAUUACAAAUUAGCUUGGGUGCAGAAGCUCAAGAUUUUGGUCNGUUCGACCAUNNNNNNNNNNNNNNNUCUGAGUUCAGACCGGCGUAAGCCAGGUCGGUUUCUAUCUUUAUUAAAAUAAAAUAUUUUAGUACGAAAGGACCAAAUAUUUAAUAUAUUUAUAUUUAAUUUUUGAAUAAUAUUAUUACUUUGGCAGAAUAGUGCAAUGAAUUUAGAAUUCAUGAAUGUAAUUUAUUACAAGUAAUACUUGUAUUUAGGAGAUUUACUAWUAAUAAUAUUAUGUAUAUUAAUUCUUGUAAUUUGUGUAUUAAUUGGUGUAGCUUUUUUAACUUUAUUAGAACGUAAAGUGUUAGGAUAUAUUCA